GGUCUUCAACAGAAGGGACCACACUUUGGUGAGAGCCUGAAAGGUUAGCAACCUAUAGCUAGGCUUGUAAACAGAAACCCCAAGAAUGGGAUUCCCCACGGCAGCCAGGAACCCCUACAGCCUGCAAGGCUUCCUCAAAUGAUUGAUGGUCUCCAUGGCAACCAUGGAAGUCCUGAUCACCUGAAUUCUCUACUCCCGCCGCUCAGCCAGCUUGCAGGACAGUCAGGACUGCACGGAGCCCUCUGGGAUCCCUGAACAAAGGUUAUUUUGAAACAGCUUACGCGGCCAGGAGCAGGUACACCUGGACAUGGGGGUCCCUGAAGGCAGCUGUGGUCCAGCCUCAUGACUGUGAGGAGAGUGGACAGGGAGAGUCCUCAGGGCUGGCCAGCAGUCAUCCUCCACCUCUACUGUGAAGAGAGGACAGCAAGAGCAAUUGUGUCCACAUGGAGCUGUUGAAUCCCUCCUCUUUCUCAGAACCAAGAAACUCCCAUGUACUCUGUCUGGCAUAGGUCCAGUAGGAAUACUACCAUAAGUUAAUCGAAAGCUUUAAGAAGUGAGUGCUGAAAAUGACUUUGGAUGACAUUUAUCAGAUGGGAAAACGCACACAGAGAGACACACACAACACACACAUACACAUGUGCAUGCACACACACCAAUGACAGGGCAUUUACUAUAUAUCAGGUACAAUACCAAGCUCUUUUCAUACAUCAUCUCGCUUAUAAUCCUGUGGGUGGUAUUAUCAUCCUCAUUUUACAGAUGAGGAGACCUGCCUCCCAGGUCAUUUACGUAGUGGAGCUGGGGUGCCAGUGCAGACUGUCUUCCUUUCUGCUCUCCACUACCCUCCAAGACACCAGACUAGUCCAGAAAAUGAGGCACAGUCCUGAGAUAAAGUCAAAGCCUUGGAAGCAGUCAGGGCAUUUCACUUCAGGGCCCCAGAGUAUGGGGGAUGGUGGCUGUCUGAGGCACGAGGCUUCAGACAUGGUGUAUUAGUCCGUUUUUACACUGCUAUAAAAAAAUAGGCAAGACUGGGUAAUUUGUAAAGGAAAGAGGUGUAAUUGACUCACAGUUUCACAUGGCUGGGGAGUCCUCAGG